GUCCAAUAUUAUGCAAUUUCACCAUUUUGCAAGUUAGCGUGUUUGUGGCCCACCUCGGCAGCAUCAAAGGCAACAUGAAUCCUAGAGCUUAUCACUCCCAUUUGUGGGGCCUGCAGCACUAUUAGCAGGUCCCGUCUCCACAACAUUGAUGGCAACAAGAAUCCUAGAGCUUAUUGCUCCCAUUUAUAUGGCCCACAAGCACGUGACCGUAGCCCCACGAUGGGCUGACUCAAUAGACCAAAACUUUUUGA